rnacentral:sRNA from 1 species
GCUGGUCUGGGUGGUGCACACCUGUAAUCCAAGUUACUGGGGAGGCUGUGGCAGGAGAAUUGCAAGUUCAGGGCCAGGCUGGGCAACUUAGUGAGAUCCUGCCUCAA